ACUACGCGGCGGUACGCGUCCGGAGAGGCCGACCUCGACGUCGGCAGCGAGUUCCCCAGGGUCUACAGCUGGGCGCAGUGCACGCCGGACCUCACGCCUGCGCAAUGCCGCGUUUGCCUCGCCGGCAUCAUCAAGGGAAUGCCGCGGUCCGCGGACCGCGUCGGGGCCAAGUUUCUUGGGGUCAGGUGCAGCUACAGAUACGAGAUAUACACCUACCUCCGCGGCCCGGUGAUGGUGCGGCUGGCUGCGCCAGCGCCUGAGCCCGCUGCGCCAGCGCCUGAGCCCGCCGUAGGGCCAACGGCUCCGACUCCAGCAACCCUCGCCCGACGAGGAAAAUGGGGAAAUAAGACGGUAGUUGUUCUAGCAAUUACGCUACCUCUGGUUGUUGCAAUUCUAGCUAUCACUGCUGUUUGUCUCUGUUAUUCGAGGAAGAGGAGGACAAGACGAGCAAGCAGUGAGCAACCACCUUAUUCGGCUAAUAGUGAGGACAUUGCAAGCAUUGAUUCACUUAUCGCCGAUCUAUCAACAUUACGUCGUGCAACGGAUAACUUUGCCGCGGCGAAUAAGCUUGGAGAAAGAGGAUUCGGUGCAGUUUAUAAGGGAAACUUUCCUGAUAGCCGGGAGAUAGCGGUGAAGAGGCUCUCAAGAAGUUCAGCGCAAGGAAUAGGAGAGCUCAAGAAUGAGCUUAUUUUGGUCGCCAAGCUUCAACAUAAGAAUCUUGUCAGGCUUGUUGGGGUAUGCGUGCAAGAGCAUGAGAAAUUGCUUGCGUAUGAAUACAUGCCCAAUAAAAGCGUUGACACUAUUCUUUUUGAUCCAGAGAGAAGUAAGGAGCUAGACUGGAGAAAGAGAUUAAAGAUAAUAAGUGGGAUUGCUCGAGGAUUACAAUAUCUUCAUGAGGAUUCGCAGCUGAGAAUAAUCCACAGGGACCUCAAAGCGAGCAAUGUUCUGUUAGACUCCGAUUACACUCCUAAGAUUUCAGACUUCGGCUUGGCAAGGCUAUUUGGAGUAGAUCAAACAAGGGAGGUGACAAACCGAGUUGUUGGGACGUAUGGAUACAUGGCCCCGGAAUAUGCGGUGCGUGGCCAGUUUUCUGUAAAAUCGGACGUGUUUAGCUUUGGCGUUUUGAUGUUAGAGGUGGUGACAGGAAGACGAAGCAGUUGCUCCUGGAACUUCGACGAGUCUGUCAAUCUCUUAAGUCUGGUAUGGGAACACUGGACCAUGGGUACAACUGCAGAGAUCAUAGACUCAUCUCUGAGAGGCCAUGCCCCAAGAAACCAGGUGGUGAAGCUUUUUCACAUCGGCCUGCUCUGUGUCCAAGAUAACCCAGCAGAUAGGCCUACGAUGUCCACUGUAAAUUUCAUGCUUAGCAGUAACACUGUGUCUCUCCGGUCUCCAUCCAAGCCAUCAUUUCUCAUGUGUAUGAGCCCUACUUCUUCCGAAUCGACCGGUAUGCCAGGUAUGGCAUCACCAAAUGAAGUUUCAAUCACGGAGCUUGAACCAAGAUGA
rnacentral:rRNA from 1 species